UACAGAGACUGCGAGCGUUAUUCGGAUUCACUGGGCGUAAAGGGUGCGCAGGCGGCCAAGUGUGUUAGGCGUGAAAGCCUGGGGCUUAACCUCAGAAUUGCACCUAAAACUACAUGGCUAGAGCAUUGGAGAGGGUAGCGGAAUUCACGGUGUAGCGGUGAAAUGCGCAGAUAUCGGGAGGAACACCAAUGGCGAAGGCAGCUUGCUGGGACGGUACUGACGCUGAGGCGCGAAAGCGUGGGGAGCAAACAGG
rnacentral:rRNA from 1 species